rnacentral:rRNA from 1 species
GGACGAACGCUGGCGGCGUGCUUAACACAUGCAAGUCGAACGGAAAGGCCCUGCUUUUGUGGGGUGCUCGAGUGGCGAACGGGUGAGUAACACGUGAGUAACCUGCCCUUGACUUUGGGAUAACUUCAGGAAACUGGGGCUAAUACCGGAUAGGAGCUCCUGCUGCAUGGUGGGGGUUGGAAAGUUUCGGCGGUUGGGGAUGGACUCGCGGCUUAUCAGCUUGUUGGUGGGGUAGUGGCUUACUAAGGCUUUGACGGGUAGCCGGCCUGAGAGGGUGACCGGCCACAUUGGGACUGAGAUACGGCCCAGACUCCUACGGGAGGCAGCAGUGGGGAAUAUUGCACAAUGGGCGGAAGCCUGAUGCAGCAACGCCGCGUGCGGGAUGACGGCCUUCGGGUUGUAAACCGCUUUCGCCUGUGACGAAGCGUGAGUGACGGUAAUGGGUAAAGAAGCACCGGCUAACUACGUG